rnacentral:rRNA from 1 species
CCUACGGGAGGCAGCAGUGGGGAAUAUUGCACAAUGGGGGAAACCCUGAUGCAGCGACGCAGCGUGAGGGAAGAAGGAGCGCGGUAAGUAAAGCGCUAUCAGCAGGGAAGAAAAUGACGGUACCUGACUAAGAAGCCCCGGCUAAUAACGUGCCAGCAGCCGCGGUUAUACGUAGGGGGCAAGCGUUAUCCGGAUUUACUGGGUGUAAAGGGAGCGUAGACGGCUGCACAAGUCUGGAGUGAAAUCCCGGGGCUUAGCCCCGGAACUGCUUUGGAAACUGUGCGGCUGGAGUGCGGGAGGGGUAAGCGGAAUUCCUAGUGUAGCGGUGAAAUGCGUAGAUAUUAG